rnacentral:lncRNA from 1 species
GUUUUAUUACCUUCUUCCCACAUUAACUCAUCCAUCCAUUCAAUAGCCAUUUAUUGAGAAGCUCACUCUGUGUUAGGCACAGUGGUGUCAUGAUGUUGGAACAGUAACAAUAACUCAACCAACCAGGGCUUGUCUGAAUACAAUCCUACAGCAGCAGGAGCUGUGGAGAUAUAGAAGGCAAGGAAGACCAGGUUGUGAGGGAAGACGAAUUUACUCCCAGGAAUGUUGGGAUUGAGAGUAAUAUUCUCCAAUAAUGGUGGAA